rnacentral:rRNA from 1 species
AACGAACGCUGGCGGCGUGGAUAAGACAUGCAAGUCGAACGGGAUCUAGCUUGUAGCAAUACUCGUUAGGUCCAGUGGCGAACGGGUGCGUAACACGUGGGCAAUCUACUUUGAAGUGGGGGAUAGCUCACCGAAAGGUGAAUUAAUACCGCAUACCGCACGAAGGCGCAUGCCUUCGUUGCGAAAGUUGGGGAAACCUAACGCUUUCAAAAUGAGCCCGCGGCCUAUCAGCUAGUUGGUGGAGUAAUAGCCCACCAAGGCUAUGACGGGUCGCUGGUCUGAGAGGACGACCAGCCACACUGGAACUGAGACACGGUCCAGACACCUACGGGUGGCAGCAGUCGAGAAUCUUUCUCAAUGGGCGAAAGCCUGAAGGAGCGACGCCGCGUGGAGGAUGAAGGCCUUCGGGUUGUAAACUCCUGUCAUCAGGAAACAAUUGCAGGCGACUAACUACCGCCUGCUUGAUAGUCCCUGAAGAGGAAGAGACGGCUAACUCUGUGCCAGCCGCCGCCGUAACAC